rnacentral:rRNA from 1 species
AUACGUAGGGUGCGAGCGUUAAUCGGAAUUACUGGGCGUAAAGCGUGCGCAGGCGGCUACAUAAGACAGGUGUGAAAUCCCCGGGCUCAACCUGGGAAUGGCGCUUGUGACUGUGUGGCUUGAGUUCGGCAGAGGGGGGUGGAAUUCCACGUGUAGCAGUGAAAUGCGUAGAGAUGUGGAGGAACACCGAUGGCGAAGGCAGCCCCCUGGGCCGCGACUGACGCUCAUGCACGAAAGCGUGGGGAGCAAACAGGAUUAGAUACCCUGGUAGUCCACGCCCUAAACGAUGUCGACUAGGUGUUGGGGAAGGAGACUUCUUUAGUACCGUAGCUAACGCGUGAAGUCGACCGCCUGGGGAGUACGGCCGCAAGGUUAAA